UACAGAGGAUGCAAGCGUUAUCCGGAAUGAUUGGGCGUAAAGCGCGCGUAGGUGGCUUCGUAAGUCCGUUGUGAAAGUCAAAGGCUCAACCUUUGAAUGCCGAUGGAUACUGCGGAGCUAGAGUACGGAAGAGGCGAGUGGAAUUCCUGGUGUAGCGGUGGAAUGCGCAGAUAUCAGGAGGAACACCAAUAGCGAAGGCAGCUCGCUGGGACGUUACUGACACUAAGGCGCGAAAGCGUGGGGAGCGAACAGG
rnacentral:rRNA from 1 species